ACAUAACACUUAUCACGCCUCUUGUAAUUCAAUCAUUAUACAACAUAUCUUUUUUCUCAUUUACCAGCCUACUAGUAUCCGUGGGGGUCCAUAGGGGUCCCGCUACCCGUUAACCUUUAACAUUCAUAAUCAGUUUCCAGGGCCGUCCCCAUACCCCGUCCGGUAUGGGCGCCAAAACCAUAAACCUCAAUACCCCGUCCGGUAUGAGGGUGAA
rnacentral:lncRNA from 1 species